CCAGCACCUGCGGUAAUUCCAGCUCCAAUAGCAUAUAUUAAAGUUGUUGCAGUUAAAAAGCUCGUAGUUGGAUUUCUGGGAGGGCGCCAAUGUCAGCUGAUGCUUGUGCAGCGGUGCCCUUCCAUCCUUCUGUUAACGUUUCUGAUAUUCAUUUAUUGGUCUCGGGCUCAGAUAUUUUACCUUGAGAAAAUUAGAGUGUUCCAGGCAGGCUUGCGCCGGAAUACAUUAGCAUGGAAUAAUAGAAUAGGACUUUAGUCUCCUUUGUUGGUUUGAGGGACUGAAGUAAUGAUUAAUAGGGAUAGUUGGGGGCAUUAGUAUUUAAUUGUCAGAGGUGAAAUUCUCGGAUUUGUUAAAGACUAACUUAUGCGAAAGCAUUUGCCAAGGAUGUUUUCA
rnacentral:rRNA from 1 species